rnacentral:rRNA from 2 species
ACAUGCAAGUCGAGCGGAGAAAUGGGAGCUUGCUCCUAUUUCUCAGCGGCGGACGGGUGAGUAACACGUGGGCAACCUGCCCUACAGACUGGGAUAACUCCGGGAAACCGGAGCUAAUACCGGGUAAUACAUAGCAUCGCAUGAUGCAACGUUGAAAGUUGGCUUUCGAGCUAACACUGUAGGAUGGGCCCGCGGCGCAUUAGCUAGUUGGUAAGGUAACGGCUUACCAAGGCCACGAUGCGUAGCCGACCUGAGAGGGUGAUCGGCCACACUGGGACUGAGACACGGCCCAGACUCCUACGGGAGGCAGCAGUAGGGAAUCUUCCGCAAUGGACGAAAGUCUGACGGAGCAACGCCGCGUGAGUGACGAAGGCCUUCGGGUCGUAAAGCUCUGUUGUUAGGGAAGAACAAGUACCGUUCGAAUAGGGCGGUACCUUGACGGUACCUAACCAGAAAGCCACGGCUAACUACGUGCCAGCAGCCGCGGUAAUACGUAGGUGGCAAGCGUUGUCCGGAAUUAUUGGGCGUAAAGCGCGCGCAGGCGGUCUCUUAAGUCUGAUGUGAAAGCCCACGGCUCAACCGUGGAGGGCCAUUGGAAACUGGGGGACUUGAGUGCAGAAGAGGAGAGUGGAAUUCCACGUGUAGCGGUGAAAUGCGUAGAUAUGUGGAGGAACACCAGUGGCGAAGGCGGCUCUCUGGUCUGUAACUGACGCUGAGGCGCGAAAGCGUGGGGAGCGAACAGGAUUAGAUACCCUGGUAGUCCACGCCGUAAACGAUGAGUGCUAGGUGUUGGGGGCUUCCACCCUCAGUGCUGAAGUAACACAUUAAGCACUCCGCCCUGGGGAGUACGACCGCAAGGUUGAAACUCAAAGGAAUUGACGGGGGCCCGCACAAGCAGUG